rnacentral:pre_miRNA from 1 species
AGCUUUUCGAAUCCGUCGUGAGAUUUCGUCCGGUACUAACCCAUUAAGGCUGAUCAGACUUCCAAGAUAAGUGAAGUU